UAUCUAUACUCGAGUAAUCAGUUAGCAUUUAUUCCACGAGGGUCAGUGACGAAUUCCAUAGGCAAACGUGUGUUGUUCUUACAUUUACUCUGCGCAAGAAUUUUACAGGUUUGUGCAUUUACUGUAUGCUGUCGGUGAUAGAGAAAGAUUUAUGUAUAUACUUCCUUUCUUCAAUACAAAUGCCAUUAAUUAAAUGUAUAUCUCGCUUGAAAUAUAAUUCAAAUCAUUUCAUUUGGUGGACUGUAAUUCCGCCUACUGACAAGUAAAGUCGUCUUCUGUUAUACCGUGUUGAAAUAAAGAGUUAAAAUGUUGGCUCUUAUGUAUAGUAAGUAGUAUAUAUUAUUGACUCUUUCCCAUCUGACGAAUUUCCAACAUACAUUCAAUAAAAUUAUCUGGCCGAGGAAGUAAAAUACUAAAAGUAUAACGCAGUUUUUAUUUAUUUUCACUUUCACUUUAUUUUUGUUUAAACUUCGAUUUAUGUAAUAGUUAUGAAUCAUGAUGUCCUUUUAUACUAUUUGUAACUAAUUAACAUAUCAACAUAUAUAUUCUAGUCAUUAUUCGUAUUUGCCCUUUGCAAACUUAAACUUUAAGCGCGCAAAGCUUAAUGGGAGCAAGUUUCAAGCUUAGUAGUCGAAUAUUGCAGCUAUUAGUGAAUGAAUUGUUCUUGUAAGGAUAUAUAUUUACCAUGUCUCUAAGAAAUGGCCCCAUGUAUAAAUAUGAUUUCUAAACUGAUUAAAUGAUGCUCCCAUUUUAUGCUUUCCAAGCUUAUAGAGUUUAAGGUUUAAGGUUUAGAGUUUAAGGUUUGCACUAAACGACAACCUUACUUAAUAUAUAAACGACAACAUUAUACUUAAUAAUAUAAAGGACAUGCAACCUUAUUUAAAUACUUCAAUGCGUAUAAAUUAUAUCUAAUUCAAGAAAGGUUAUAGGUUCUAUAUAGGUUGACCUUCGAACCUCAAAACCUUAAACUCUAAAAGCGAAUUGCAGUGCAUGGGAACAAUGGAAAUCGCAUAUACCGGCCAAGAUUUACGAUGGAAAGCGUUCCCAUUGCAAUUUUAUUUUUCGCGCUUAGAGUUUAUAAGGUUUAUAAAGGUUCGGAUUGACUACUGAUAACUUUAAUUUAUUGAGCUUUCGACUCGGUAUAGCUAUAUACUUCGUCCGUUCGAGUCUUCAGUUUGAAAUUUCGUGCCUAUCAGACGCUCCCGACCUAUUUUACAAGAUUAAUUGUAACAUUUAAUAUGAGCUUGAUCCUCAAACGAAAAGGCUCAGACAAACGUUUUCAGGCAUGUAUAGCAUGCUAUAUCUCAUUGCAUGUGUUUAUAUAAUGAACACUUUUUGAAUGGGAGCGAGGGAAAAAGUAAUAAUAUAGGAAUUGAUUGCCAAGGUCACGUACGAUUCGAAUCCUUCACGUAGGUGCAUGCAUAUAUAUAUGGGCUAUAGUAACUUGUAUAAAGCUUGUUUCUGACCUCUAUAUAUAAAGAGCCAAUCCCAACCGAAUGUAAAUCGGACUUCCCUUGGAUGGGACAUGAGAUAUUUUAUCACCGCGAUUAAAUAAUCAGCUAAGUCGAUAAGAAGAAAACACUUUUGUGCACACACGAGUGCAUGAGCUAGUAAGCCUGGUUUCCAUGUGGUCAUAACUGUCAUAAAGAUAGACUACAAAAAGUCACGAUCUUUCUCAUGGAUCAACGGCCAGAUUAUAAUAGUUUCCACCUGCAUGUAAACCGCAUAUAAAUCAUAAUAAGUAUUCUCUAUAUUUAUAAUCAUUCUGCCUAUUAUCAGUGUUAAACUGGCGUAUUUCAGCUGUUGAGAAUGAUCGUGACUCGAUUUUACAACCGUUACGACCAUAUGGAAACCAGGUUUAAGAACUUUCGAUCGAUAUAAAUCCUUUCUUGGAAGCCUUCAGUAUUCAAUAGUAUCCGGUUUGCGUCAUGUGGAGCAAACGAUAAACUGACCCGACAAAGCGAGGCCGGCCGAGCAACCGGCAUGCAGGUUCGUAUCAGAUAGGCCACUUCUCAUUCCGUAUGGUUUCCAUAGCGACGAACGUGAAUGUUAUUAUUAGCUUUGAUAUUCAUGCCCACUCAUCAAACUAAUCACUCAGAAUGUUUUUAACUGAAAACACCUUUUUGUCGCGGACUAGGCAAAGUUUUGUAACAUAUACAUUCGUCCUGUUUUCCUGUAUAGCGGACUGACAGCAGACUGAAAGUGCAGCAGAUUUCAAGUGGGAUUUUAAAGCUAAAUGCUGACAUGUCGUCCACAAAACAGUGUAUUUCAUGUAAUCGCGAGGUUAGUAUCUGAAUGCAGAGCACAUGAAGUUUUGUUGUAUGUUUAAUUUAAAUUCAGAAAUAUUAAUUGCAGUGGCAUUUAAUUAAGGCUCGGUGAAUCGAGGAUGAGAGUACGUUGACUGGAAUUGAAGAGAGUUUUAACUUCCCCUCGCGUUUGACCGCAAACUCUAUAUAUACAGUGUACAUCUCAUCUAUCGACUCUCAUUCGGCUCUCAUCAUCUUUGAGCUGGAUCAAAUUUUGACGAGAGUUGAUGCAUGGGAGUCAGUUUUGCUCGUAGUUUGAGUGCAACUCUCACACAACUCUUGUUCUCGUUUGACCGGGGUAUAUAAAUAUAAGAGAUGAGAAAAUUCUCUUAUACACAAUGCCUUCGUUUCUCAACUCUAGAGCAUCUUCGUUUGACCGGGAGAUUUAUUCUAAAUCAUCGCACAUUAAUUCCGUGUAGGCCUAUAACUAUAUCAGCGUAUAGAAUUUCUUCCGCUUUCCAAGUUUUCUGCAUGUCGUAGGUUUAAUUCGUAUGAUUUGGUAUAUUUGCAUGUAUAUUCUCAGACAAGGUUAAUUAAUAUAUAAAGAAAUAUUAGACACAUGAAUUGAUUGUGCUUCCUGAAAAAGUCGUAGAAACAAUUCGACGUUGCACGCAAGCGAAGGCUCUUCGGCUUUGUCAACACUGAAGAGGUUUCGUUAUAUACUAGCCAUUUUUUCAGAAACAAACCAUAUGGCAUCUUGACCUAUAUAUAGCUAGAAUUCAAGACUAUGGUCUAGAUAUAACUAUAUACAUGCAGCUAUGCCCAUGCGCCUCAGAAACUUGCCUAAUUAUACGUUAGAGUCGACUUGUUUUGUGUAAAAUAUUAUUAUAGUGUGUUAAUAUUAUUUAUUCAGAUGCCAAUCUCAAGUGAAUCAUGUGUUUGUGG